rnacentral:rRNA from 1 species
AUUGAACGCUGGCGGCAGGCCUAACACAUGCAAGUCGAGCGGAUGAGGAGUGCUUGCACUCCGAUUCAGCGGGGGACGGGUGAGUAAUGCCUAGGAAUCUGCCCGAUAGUGGGGGACAACGUUUCGAAAGGAACGCUAAUACCGCAUACGUCCUACGGGAGAAAGUGGGGGAUCUUCGGACCUCACGCUAAUAGAUGAGCCUAGGUCGGAUUAGCUAGUUGGUGAGGUAACGGCUCACCAAGGCGACGAUCCGUAGCUGGUCUGAGAGGAUGAUCAGCCACACUGGAACUGAGACACGGUCCAGACUCCUACGGGAGGCAGCAGUGGGGAAUAUUGGACAAUGGGCGAAAGCCUGAUCCAGCCAUGCCGCGUGUGUGAAGAAGGUCUUCGGAUUGUAAAGCACUUUAAGUUGGGAGGAAGGGUUGUAAGCUAAUAUCUUGCAGCUUUGACGUUACCAACAGAAUAAGCACCGGCUAACUCUGUGCCAGCCGCCGCUGUAAUAC